CAUGUUGGGAUUAGGGUUAUGCCCAUAGAAAUGAAUGGCGAGUCCCCACAAAGACAGGAGUAUAUGAACUCUGUGUGUCUGUGCCUGUGUCUGUCUGCAUGAGUGUGUCUGGCAGACCCCCUCCAGUCUCGGGUGCCCCCUCCCAUCUGUGUUUGCUCGCUGUCAGGACAGCAGCUCCCAGCCUCUCUCUCUCUCUGUCCUCCGCGGCUGAGCUGUGUUACCCUGUGUCCUCGCCCCCAGGCCGGCCAGGAGUCCUUCCGAUCCAUAACCAGGUCCUACUACAGAGGGGCUGCAGGGGCACUCUUAGUCUAUGACAUCACCAGGAGACCCAGAUUAGCUGACAGAAUGCAGCUUGUUCCAGUGUGCAGCCGGGACUGGUGUCGUGGUGUUGGGAGGCUCAGUGUGGGAGUCACUCCUCCGAGGAGUACUUCACUUUAUAUGUGACUCCUUCGUCCCUUCUUUAAAGGUCACGGCACAAACUGAAAUCGUGCUGGUUUUAUCCACAUCCCACUCGAUGGCGAUGAAAUCCACAUUUUGGAGAAGAUCCCAGACGGAGGACCAGCACUAAUACUGUAUUACAAUUGGGUCUCCUACUCAUCUCCAAGGGAACAUCUGCUCACUCUGUAGCUGGUCAUAUCCCCGCUAAGAUUCCAGGUAUAUUUCAAGGUUACUUGCCAUUCAGUUUCUGAAGUGACUGUGGAUUAAGGCUCUAACUGUGACUCCAAAUCUAUAUCAGAUACAAAUUAAAGUGUGUUUUAAAAAAAUCAGCAAAUCCAAAUGUUAAGCUUGAUUCCCCCAGCAUUAUAAUUAACAGAAGGUGAUGGGUUCAAGUAAAUGGAAGAGCUGUGACUGUGAAAAGUAAAAUUAAAACUAGAUUAA